rnacentral:rRNA from 1 species
AGGACGAACGCUGGCGGCGUGCCUAACACAUGCAAGUCGAACGGAGCCCGCAAGGGUUCAGUGGCGAACGGGUGCGUAACACGUGAGGAACUUGUCCAUCGGCGGGGGAUAGCCGGCCCAACGGCCGGGUAAUACCGCGUACGCCGUCCGGAGCGCAUGCUCUGGCCGGGAAAGCAGCAAUGCACCGAUGGAGAGCCUCGCGGCCUAUCAGCUAGUUGGUGGGGUAAUGGCCUACCAAGGCGACGACGGGUAGCUGGUCUGAGAGGAUGACCAGCCACAUUGGGACUGAGACACGGCCCAGACUCCUACGGGAGGCAGCAGUGGGGAAUAUUGCGCAAUGGGCGAAAGCCUGACGCAGCGAAGCCGCGUGUGGGAUGACGGCCUUCGGGUUGUAAACCACUGUCGCGAGGGACGAAGAUCUGACGGUACCUCGAAAGGAAGCACCGGCUAACUCUGUGCCAGCAGCCGC